rnacentral:rRNA from 1 species
AACGAACGCUGGCGGCAUGCCUAACACAUGCAAGUCGAACGAGACCUUCGGGUGUAGUGGCGCACGGGUGCGUCACGCGUCGGAACCUUCCCUUAUGUUCGGAAUACCUCUCCGAAAGGGGUGCUAAUACCGGAUAAUUUCUUCUAACCAAAGAUAUAUCGCCUUUGUAUGGGCGCGCGUUGGAUUAGCUAUUUGGUAGUGUAAAAGCCUACCAAGGGUACGAUCCAUAGCUGGUCUGAGAGGAUGGUCAGCCACACUGGGGCUGGGACACGGCGGGGACUCUUGCGGAAGGCAGCAAUGGGGAAUAUUGGACGACGGGGGAGAGCAUGAUGCAUCAAGGCCGCGAAAGUGAUGUAGUCGUGAAGGAUGUAAAGCAGUUUUACCUGGGAUGAUAAUGACGGUACCGAGAGAAUAAGCUCCGGCUAACUCCGUG